rnacentral:tRNA from 1 species
GCUGUGGUGGUGUAGUGGUAGCACACCUGCGUUAAGUUCGGGCACGUGGUCAUUCGCUUCUAACGUGGUCCCGAUGAGCACAGGAGGUCGCAGGUUCGAUCCCUGCCCACGGUC